UUAACUUAAAUUUGUAUGGAGUUGGAACGUUUGCCUACGUUUGCCGUUAGGGGCGCUGUUCCAACUCCAUACUUUGAGUUA
rnacentral:pre_miRNA from 1 species